rnacentral:SRP_RNA from 1 species
UGCAGCCGGGGAGAUAGCGGUGCCCUGUACCUGCAAUCCGCUCCAGCAGGGGUGAUGUCCUGUCUCGGACAUUUUAUUGCAGAGCUGCCUUUUGUAAGCGGCGGUGACGUUUGGGUCUUGCGCAAUGGAAAUCCAUGAACCGUGUCAGGGCAGGAAUGCAGCAGCACUAAGUGGAAGCUUUCAUGUGCCGUGAGGCUGCCUGGACUGAGUUGGCUGCAGAAGUAACGUCUG